CAGUCGCCACGGGAAUACGUAGGUGGCAAGCGUUGUCCGGAAUUAUUGGGCGUAAAGGGCUCGCAGGCGGUUUCUUAAGUCUGAUGUGAAAGCCCCCGGCUCAACCGGGGAGGGUCAUUGGAAACUGGGAAACUUGAGUGCAGAAGAGGAGAGUGGAAUUCCACGUGUAGCGGUGAAAUGCGUAGAGAUGUGGAGGAACACCAGUGGCGAAGGCGACUCCCUGGUCUGUAACUGACGCUGAGGAGCGAAAGCGUGGGGAGCGAACAGGAUUAGAUACCCCUGUAGUCCCUGUCUCUUAUAC
rnacentral:rRNA from 1 species